UACGUAGGGGGCUAGCGUUGUCCGGAUUUAUUGGGCGUAAAGAGCGUGUAGGCGGCCAGAUAGGUCUGCUGUGAAAACUCGAGGCUCAACCUCGAGAUGUCGGCGGAAACCAUUUGGCUAGAGUCCGGAAGAGGAAAGUGGAAUUCCGGGUGUAGCGGUGGAAUGCGUAGAGAUCCGGAAGAACACCGGUGGCGAAGGCGGCUCUCUGGGCCUUACCUGACGCUGAGGAGCGAAAGCGUGGGUAGCGAACAGG
rnacentral:rRNA from 1 species